rnacentral:lncRNA from 1 species
GACUGAUGUUUAGGUCGUGAUGGGGGAAGGGUGAUGAGAGGGAGCACUUGCUAUAUUGAAUGAAUGGGUGAAUAUCUAAUUGAUGGAAUAAAGGUGGGGGAAAUAAUUUUGAGUGUAGGGAACAUAUGAUAGGGGUCAUUGAAAGAAGAAACAUCUUUCCAGACCUGCUUACCUCCGUCCUCCCCUGCACAGCCUGGCCUGAGCUGCAUCCUUAAACCAUCUGUGCUUGGUGGCCUAGAAUCUAGAAAGCGUGACGCCUACCUACAAUGGAGACAAAGAUAUUUCUGGCAAGAUAUGGAGAGAAAGUCCCUUCAGUGAAAAAAUGCAAGGCUGUUCUUGACUGCUUUAACAGAGUCUUACUCUAUUGCCCAGGCUGGAGUACAGUAGUACAAUCUCAGUUGACUGCAACCUCCACCUCCCAGGUUCAAGUGAUUCUCCUGGAUCAGCCUCCUGACUAGCUGGGACUACAGGUACAUGCCACCACACCUGGCUAAUUUUUUUAUU